rnacentral:rRNA from 1 species
UAGGAAUCUUCCACAAUGGACGCAAGUCUGAUGGAGCAACGCCGCGUGAGUGAAGAAGGUUUUCGGACCGUAAAGCUCUGUUGUUGGUGAAGAAGGAUAGAGGUAGUAACUGGCCUUUAUUUGACGGUAAUCAACCAGAAAGUCACGGCUAACUACGUGCCAGCAGCCGCGGUAAUCGUAGGUGGCAAGCGUUGUCCGGAUUUAUUGGGCGUAAAGCGAGCGCAGGCGGAAGAAUAAGUCUGAUGUGAAAGCCCUCGGCUUAACCGAGGAAUUGCAUCGGAAACUGUUUUUCUUGAGUGCAGAAGAGGAGAGUAGAACUCCAUGUGUAGCGGUGGAAUGCGUAGAUAUAUGGAAGAAUACCAGUGGCGAAGGCGGCUCUCUGGUCUGCAACUGACGCUGAGGCUCGAAAGCAUGGGUAGCGAACAGGAUUAGAUACCCUGGUAGUCCAUGCCGUAAAACGAUGAGU